CAGUUAGCGGGAAAAAGUCACCUGGUCUAGGCUUUCUUGAACCAACUGCUGCUGUUAAAACGACUGUAUCGCCGUAACGGAUUAACGCGGCUCCAUUUGCUUGCUUUGCCAUUUGACCAACUUCGAUUGCUAGUUCCUUUCCUGCCCAUGUGGAUUUAAAUACUUGUUUUUCAGUCAUAUUUUGAUCUCCUUUUUAUAGGAGCGUCCACUAUCAAAUCGAAACUUUACCAUGCAUUAUUUCUUCACGCACGCCUGAUUACAGACACGCAUAAAUCCAAAAACCUGCCUGCAAGUC
rnacentral:antisense_RNA from 1 species